UACAGGGGGUGCAAACGUUGCUCGGAAUUAUUGGGCGUAAAGCGCGUGUAGGCGGUCCGGUAAGUCCGCUGUGAAAGUCGGGGGCUCAACCCUCGAAUGCCGGUGGAUACUGUCGGGCUAGAGUGCGGAAGAGGCGAGUGGAAUUCCUGGUGUAGCGGUGAAAUGCGCAGAUAUCAGGAGGAACACCAAUUGCGAAGGCAGCUCGCUGGGACGUUACUGACGCUGAGACGCGAAAGCGUGGGGAGCAAACAGG
rnacentral:rRNA from 1 species